rnacentral:rRNA from 1 species
AUUGAACGCUGGCGGCAUGCUUUACACAUGCAAGUCGAACGAGUGGCGAACGGGUGAGUAACGUCUCGGAACGUGCCGAAUAGGGGGGGAUAACUAUUCGAAAAGGUAGCUAAUACCGCAUACUAUUGGAUCUGCCGAUAUCGGAUUAGCUAGUUGGUGGGGUAAAGGCUCACCAAGGCGACGAUCAGUAGCUGGUCUGAGAGGAUGACCAGCCACACUGGUACUGAGACACGGCCCAGACUCCUACGGGAGGCAGCAGUGGGGAAUUUUGGACAAUGGGCGCAAGCCUGAUUCAGCCAUGCGGCGUGUAUGAAGAAGGCCUUCGGGUUGUAAAGGACUUUUGGCAGGGAAGCGGUACCUGAAGAAGAAGCACCGGCUAACUACGUGCCAGCAGCCGCGGUAAUUC